rnacentral:rRNA from 1 species
AACCAGCUCUUCAAGUGGUCGGGAUGAUUAUUGGGCAUAAAGUGUCCGUAGCCGGUUUAGUAAGUUCCUGGUAAAAUCGGGUAGCUUAACUAUCUGUAUGCUAGGAAUACUGCUAUACUAGAGGGCGGGAGAGGUCUGAGGUACUACAGGGGUAGGGGUGAAAUCUUAUAAUCCUUGUAGGACCACCAGUGGCGAAGGCGUCAGACUGGAACGCGCCUGACGGUGAGGGACGAAAGCCAGGGGAGCGAACCGGAUUAGAUACCCGGGUAGUCCUGGCCGUAAACGAUGCAUACUAGGUGAUGGCACGGCCAUGAGCCGUGUCAGUGCCGUAGGGAAACCGUUAAGUGUGCCGCCUGGGAAGUACGGUCGCAAGGCUAAAACUUAAAGGAAUUGGGCGGGGGAGCACCACAAGGGGUGAAGCCUGCGGUUC